GACGAACGCUGGCGGCGUGCUUAACACAUGCAAGUCGAACGGAAAGGCCCUGCUUUUGUGGGGUGCUCGAGUGGCGAACGGGUGAGUAACACGUGAGUAACCUGCCCUUGACUUUGGGAUAACUUCAGGAAACUGGGGCUAAUACCGGAUAGGAGCUCCUGCUGCAUGGUGGGGGUUGGAAAGUUUCGGCGGUUGGGGAUGGACUCGCGGCUUAUCAGCUUGUUGGUGGGGUAGUGGCUUACCAAGGCUUUGACGGGUAGCCGGCCGGAGAGGGUGACCGGCGCAACUGGAACUGAGACAGGGUCCAGAGUACUACGGGAGGCAGGAGUAGGGAAUCGUCCGCAAUGGGGGAAAGCCGGACGGAGCAACGCCGCGUGAGUGAUGAAGGUCUUCGGAGCGUAAAACUCUGUUAUUAGGGAAGAACAAAUGUGUAAGUAACUAUGCACGUCUUGACGGUACCUAAUCAGAAAGCCACGGCUAACUACGUG
rnacentral:rRNA from 1 species